AGUGAACGCUGGCGGCGUGCUUCAUACAUGCAAGUCGAACGAUGAAGCUCUAGCUUGCUAGAGUGGAUUAGUGGCGCACGGGUGAGUAAUGUAUGGGAAUCUGCCCUAUAGUCUAGGAUAGCCACUGGAAACGGUGAUUAAUACUGGAUAUUCCGGAGACGGGAAAGUUUUUCGCUAUAGGAUGAGCCCAUAUUGUAUCAGCUUGUUGGUGAGGUAAAAGCUUACCAAGGCUAUGACGCAUAACUGGUCUGAGAGGAUGAUCAGUCACACUGGAACUGAGACACGGUCCAGACUCCUACGGGAGGCAGCAGUAGGGAAUUUUGCACAAUGGGGGAAACCCUGAUGCAGCGACGCCGCGUGGAGGAUGAAGGUUUUCGGAUUGUAAACUCCUUUUUCAUAGGAAGAUAAUGACGGUACUAUGAGAAUAAGCACCGGCUAACUCCGUGCCAGCCGCCGCUGUAAU
rnacentral:rRNA from 1 species